rnacentral:lncRNA from 1 species
UAAUAUCUUGAGAUGGGAAGAUUAUCCUGGAUGCGUAUGAUAUAAUCACAUGGUUCUUGUAAGAGAAAAAAAUGAUGAGAACAUGGAAGCAGAGAGAUUAGAAGAUGUGAUGCUUUUCGCUUUGAAGAUGCAGAAAGGAGACAUGAACCAUGGAAGUAUUCCAGAGGAUACCUGGAAACCAGAGAGCUGGAGAGGCUGGUUGGGGCAGUCCGUGAAGGCCAGCUUCAUGAGUCACAA